AACGAACGCUGGCGGCAGGCUUAACACAUGCAAGUCGAGCGCCCCGCAAGGGGAGCGGCAGACGGGUGAGUAACGCGUGGGAAUCUACCCAUCUCUACGGAAUAACGCAUGGAAACGUGUGCUGAUACCGUAUACGUCCUUCGGGAGAAAGAUUUAUCGGAGAUGGAUGAGCCCGCGUUGGAUUAGCUAGUUGGUGGGGUAAAGGCCUACCAAGGCGACGAUCCAUAGCUGGUCUGAGAGGAUGAUCAGCCACACCGGGACUGAGACACGGCCCAGACUCCUACGGGAGGCAGCAGUGGGGAAUAUUGGACAAUGGGCGCAAGCCUGAUCCAGCCAUGCCGCGUGAGUGAUGAAGGCCCUGGGGUUGUAAAGCUCUUUCACCGGUGAAGAUAAUGACGGUAACCGGAGAAGAAGCCCCGGCUAACUUCGUGCCAGCCGCCGCGGUAACAC
rnacentral:rRNA from 1 species